rnacentral:rRNA from 1 species
UCCAGACUCCUACGGGAGGCAGCAGUGGGGAAUAUUGGGCAAUGGGCGCAAGCCUGACCCAGCAACGCCGCGUGAAGGAAGAAGGCUUUCGGGUUGUAAACUUCUUUUGACAGGGAAGAGUAGAAGACGGUACCUGUCGAAUAAGCCACGGCGAACUACGUGCCAGCAGCCGCGGUAAUACGUAGGGAGCAAGCGUUAUCCGGAUUUAUUGGGUGUAAAGGGUGCGUAGACGGGAAAUUAAGUUAGUUGUGAAAUCCCUCGGCUCAACUGAGGAACUGCAACUAAAACUGAUUUUCUUGAGUGCAGGAGAGGUAAGUGGGAUUCCUAGUGUAGCGGUGAAAUGCGUAGAUAUUAGGAGGAACACCAGUGGCGAAGGCGACUUACUGGACUGUAACUGACGUUGAGGCACGAAAGUGUGGGGAGCAAACAGGAUUAGAUACCCCUGUA